rnacentral:misc_RNA from 1 species
UCCGGUUUGGCACCGGCAGUCCCCCCAGAGUCCCCGGCUUCACCCGCUGGCAACAUGGGACGAGGGUUGCGCUCGUUGCGGGACUUAACCCAACGUCUCACGACACGAGCUGACGACAGCCAUGCACCACCUGUACACGAGUAUCAAAGAGACCCCCAUCUCUGGGAGCUUCCCGCGUAUGUCAAACCCAGGUAAGGUUCUUCGCGUUGCAUCGAAUUAAUCCGCAUGCUCCGCCGCUUGUGCGGGCCCCCGUCAAUUCCUUUGAGUUUUAGCCUUGCGGCCGUACUCCCCAGGCGGAACACUUAUCGCGUUGGCUUCGGCACGGACAGAUUCGACUCCGCCCACACCUAGUGUUCAUCGUUUACGGCGUGGACUAC